rnacentral:rRNA from 1 species
AGGAAAGAGCUCAAAGUUGGAACCUGUUUGGCUUAGCUAAACCGGAUUGUAAACUGUAGAAGUGUUUUCCAGACACGCCUGGUAAAAAAGUCCUUUGGAACAGGGCAUCAUAGAGGGUGAGAAUCCCGUCUUUGGCCAGAGCUGUUGUCUUUUGUGAUACAUUUUCAAAGAGUCAGGUUGUUUGGGAAUGCAGCCUAAAUUGGGUGGUAAAUCUCACCUAAAGCUAAAUAUUUGCGAGAGACCGAUAGCGAACAAGUACCGUGAGGGAAAGAUGAAAAGAACUUUGAAAAGAGAGUUAAACAGUAUGUGAAAUUGUUAAAAGGGAACCGUUUGGAGCCAGACUGGCUUGACUGUAAUCAAUCUAGGCUUCGGCCUGGAUGCACUUGCGGUUUAUGCCUGCCAACGACAAUUUUUUUUGAGGGAAAAAACUAUUUGGAAUGUGGCCCUCCCUCGGGGGGGUGUUAUAGCCUUUUAGAAAAUACCUUGAAUUGGAUUGAGGAACGCAGUGAAUGCCUUUAGGCAAGAUUGCUGGGCGCUUUCGCUAAUAAAUGCUAGAAUUUCUGCUUCGGGUGGUGCUAGUGUUUAAAGGAGAAACUCGUCUGGUAU